rnacentral:tRNA from 1 species
UGCCCCAUGGCUGAGUUGGUUACAGCGUCCGACUGUUAAUCGGAAGGUCGUGAGUUCAAUCCUCACUGGGGCAG